GAAAUGCGAUAAGUAAUGUGAAUUGCAGAAUUCAGUGAAUCAUCGAAUCUUUGAACGCACCUUGCGCUCCUUGGUAUUCCUUGGAGCAUGCCUGUUUGAGUAUCAUGAAAUUCUCAAAGUAAAUCUUUUGUUAAUUCAACUGUUUUUGCUUUGGACUUGGAGGUCUUUUGCAGAUUUCAGGUCUGCUCCUCUUAAAUGCAUUAGCUGGAUCUCAGUAUAUGCUUGGUUCCACUCGGCGUGAUAAGUAUCACUCGCUGAGGACACUGUAAAAGGUGGCCAGGAAAUACAGAUGAACCGCUUCUAAUAGUCUAUUAAGUUAGACAAUUAAUUUUAAGAUCUGAUCUCAAAUCAGGUAGGACUACCCGCUGAACUUAAGC
rnacentral:misc_RNA from 1 species